UUAUUAUUUAUGGUUCUGUAUUAUUUCGCAGCGCUUGUGAUCGUGCCGACACGAGAACUGGCACUACAGACUAGUCAGAUCUGCAUAGAACUUGCGAAACAUAUGGACAUUAAAGUUAUGGUCACAACUGGCGGAACUAACCUAAGAGAUGAUAUUAUGAGGAUUUAUCAGAAAGUUCAUGUGAUUAUUGCGACACCAGGUCGAAUUUUAGACCUCAUGGACAAAAAUGUCGCAAUU